GGAACCGUUUUCUAGCCAGGUAAAAUAAAUUUGAAUAUUUUUGGUAUAUAAGAAGCUGGACUUCUAAUCCAGUUUUUCGCAGGUUCGAAUCCUGCCGGUUCCA
rnacentral:tRNA from 1 species